UGCUACCUUCUUAACAUUCUAUAUGUGUACUUCACACUACUCUCAUAAUUAUAUCUACAAUCAUCUCUUACAAUUCUAAUCACUCUAAACUUUAUUUGAGUGGUCUGUUGUUACGCACACCUACAAUAAAGCAUGCAAUGUUAGUUAAAACACACAACAUUAGUUAAAACAUGCAAGAUGAUUUCAACAUGUGUAAGAUUCCUUGAAAACCAAUCUGAAUCCUCUACUACCUCCAAUGAUCACAAUGCACAUUUGCAACAGUUGAAUGAUCAAAUUCAUGAAUGAGAGCAGCAAUUAGCUAUUCUGCAUGCACAACAGCAGCUCAACAAGUUGAAAGCACAGAUUCAUGAAGAUACUCUCAUCAAAUCUCAAUUAACUCAGAAUAUCACCACAGAACUGCUGCAAAAUUGAUCUGUGAACAAUACAGAUGAUGAUAAUGAAACAUCAUCAAGAUUAGAGAUUAAGAACUAUUAUUGAGAAAAAAAUAUAUUAGAAUUCAAGAACUAUAAAGAUCACAUAUUGACUCUCUUUACACAUCAUUGCUGAUAUUAUUGAAAGAAAGAAUAUAAAAUAAAUGAUGCUAAACUCUAUCUUAACACCCACAUUAAGCAGAAAUGAUUGAAUUUUGUAUCAUCAUAUAAGAGACAUGAAAAGGCAACAUUGUUGACUUUUGACAAUAUGCUAUCACAUCUAGAAAUGCAAAUUAACAAUCCACAGAAUCAACACUGAUUGAUGAGUCAAAAGUUUCAAAAUGCAAAGCAACAAGAUGUGACGGGUUAGCACCCGUUAGUAAUCAACUUACGCAACCAACUCCCCUCCUGCACCCGCUCGUUCCUGGCCGUUGUGACCUCGCGUAACCCUCGAUGUUCUUCCGCUCCGUGCUCCGCGCUCGCGUAGUUUCUAAUGAUUCUUCCGCGUAGCUCCUUACGUUCUCCCGCUCUGUGUUCCGCACUCGCGUAGUCUCUAACGAUUCUUCCGCGUAGCCCUCAAUGAUUCCCCC
rnacentral:sRNA from 1 species